UACGUAGGGGGCAAGCGUUAUCCGGAUUUACUGGGUGUAAAGGGAGUGUAGACGGUUCUGCAAGUCUGAUGUGAAAGGCGGAGGCUCAACUUCCGGAUUGCAUUGGAAACUGUGGGACUUGAGUGCCGGAGAGGUAAGCGGAAUUCCUAGUGUAGCGGUGAAAUGCGUAGAUAUUAGGAGGAACACCAGUGGCGAAGGCGGCUUACUGGACGGUAACUGACGUUGAGGCUCGAAAGCGUGGGGAGCAAACAGG
rnacentral:rRNA from 1 species